AUACAAAUAUAAAACAAUAAAAUUCUCUUCUACGUGACUUUACCGAAAGAACCAAGAAUAAGUGUUCGAUUAAUGACGGAGUCUGGUUUGUGUGAAUUACUACGGUUCACCACAAAGGUUAUCAAAUCAUUGGAAAAUGUAGUUUAAGAGUUGAAGAAAAUUUUGAAUUUUAUGUAGCACACUUUAAUACGAUAUUUCAUGAUACGGGAAUACGUUCCACACCCAGACUAAAGUGCCAUAGUCAUCAUCACGAUACAUGGGCAGAUAGCCAUAAGGUGUCCACUGAACAUUUCGUCAUUUGUUUCCACUAAUCGUAUCCUGCCUUCCAAAUGGGAAAUAUCACCGCGAGGGUAAAACACUGGGGUGGAAAGGUUCAGAAAGGCUAUCCAAUAUCCUCCACUGUCGUGCCGUCGUGAGCUAAUAUUACCCAUUGAGUGCAGCAGAAAUAUUCUGUUUAGCAAAAAACAAAGUAUUUCGCGGUUUAUUUCACAUUUACAGUAUACAAAUAUGAAACACAUCUCAAGAAGCUGGAUGAUUAUAAUCAAUAGUUAGGGCUGCUGUCUGCCAUAAGCCCUUGGCGCAUGAUUUGUUCAUGCGUAUAUUACUGAGGAUGCAUCCAGGUUGCGUGUGGUUUUGUGGGAGCCGUGGCAUAGCGAUUUAGACCCUGCCGACCGACCUGGUUUUGGCUCCCGGCCAUGCACAUCAGUAGAAAAGUUGUAUCCGAGCCAGUACUGGGCUUUCCUGAAAUCAACUAUUGUCUCGUGCGAACAUCAGCAAUGUGAAGACAAAGUCACUGAGCAUUUUGUUUCGUAUCACUGGGCCACAGCAGCCUUAGUGAGUGCUCACUCACCAUACUUGGCCACGUAUUCUGUUUGACACAGGUAGACAGGAAUCUGGAUUUUGUGCGUGGUUUACCGAGCCAAUUGUUAAAACGAACAAUUGUUGUUAAGAUACGGUAUUUCUGUUUUUUAUGCUGCUGGCAAUGGGACUAAGCAAGCUCUUGAUUAGCUUUUUUUUUUUAGUCCCUCAAUGAAUCCCACUUUCCAAGCGUUGAGGAUUAGAUUAUGAUACUGAAUGCUUAGGUUGCACAGUUCAGGUCUAUUGGGACCUCAUAGUGGCAGGAAUGAUCACAACUUGAAAGAUAUGCACACAAACAUGAUAACAUAUAUCCUGGCUUAUUCACUCACGACAAUUGCACAGGAAUCUUACGCGCAGAAACAUUAAACGAUUAUCGCUCAUUAGCCACUGGCAAAUCUUCUCACCUGUAAUGCCAAUUGUACGUAUGCACGUAUGUAAAAAUGUAUGCCCUUAUUCUACAGACUAAUAAAGUGUGAGCCAACACGUGCGCUUGCAUGUUUUGCUGACCAUGAUUGCAAAUGCUGCACAGCCGAAUACGCCGACGGAAUCACGGUUAUCACGCGCACCCUCCAUCCUCUGCCGGUGGGGAGCGAAAUCGCGAUGGUGCGUGUCUCUUCGAGAGCCAAAUUGAGAGCGCACGGAAAUGUUAAGAAGUUUACUCGUGUCAUUCACCACCCACCACGAACUGAUACCACGUAUUAAAAUGAAAAGGUGCCGUGGCCACGGCGUGGAAUAUAAAUUGGACAAGAUGGUUACGUUCUACUCGAGUUGAGGCUAGCAGCUCAUUAGCCCACAUUCCACGGGGGAAGUCAAGCAGGACGACCGUCUUCUGCAGCCAUAAGAAAGAUCACUUUGCGCAAUCUCCAAUUCGCUUUCAGCUAUGGGGCUUUUCAGGCUGCACUCUUUGCUGAAAUGUCUCCUCCUGGUGACGAUGGCAAGAGGCCACCAGCACGUGGCGUGGGAUGCUCACCGCUAUCGGCAGGCCACCACCAGCGACUUGGUGGGGCACAGCGAGAGCUUUGUCCAACUGCCGAGCCUCGGGGCCAGAAGGAGCGUCCAGGGAUGGCAGGCGCCCUUGGAGGCGAGGGUGGCACAGCUUUUCUUAGAGAAGGAAAGCUACACAAGAGCAUCACUUCCCGCUGAAUGCAGCAAGCACUUUCGCCGGCUGUAUUACAACACCAGGGACUGCAUGACACCAGCGUAUUACAAGCGUUGUGCGAGACUUCUCACGCGACUUGCGAUGAGUCCACACUGCCUGGCGCGCUGACCGCUCGAACCGUCACACACUCACAACACUGCCCACGUGUGCUGCCGUGGUAUGACAUUUGCUGCGAUGUUUGCUCCUUAAUGUGCUUUAAUAUAUUGGUGAACAUUAAACAAACAUUAAAGAUCAUAGCAACAAAUAUCAUAUGGUUGCUGCUGCUGCAUGUUUCCGAGGCCCACGCCUCUACCCCAAAUAUUGCGUAUGCUUUCGUUUCACUUUUAACCAAACGCAUAUGUUCGAUUUUCGGAAAAAUGCAUAAAAUAGAUUUCAAUGGCAACUGUUUUGAAUUUCUAGGGCCCAAGUUUUUUGUUUUGUUACACAUCAAUUACAACCACCACAACUGUAAACGUCGGAGUGUCGUAAUUGUAAGCUGUGCCGGUGGGAUUCUCUUUGGUCUCCAUCGGGGAAUUCUCUCUGCCAACAGCCUACUUGCUGCUCCUCUCACUUUGGCAGGUCUACCGAGAUCUCUAUAAUCCGAUGCUUUCCCUUAUAUCAGAAAGCGUCUCAAAAUGAAGAGCACAACAGCAGACCUCACGCGGCCACCUGUGCAACAAAAUAAAUGGGCUCGAGAUAAUUGCUUUGUGAUUUUUUUUGUCGCACAAGUAAAACAUGCGUGCGUGUAAACGUAUGAUUAUUCCACUGUAUAAAUGCCACAGUACAGUACUUUGUAAUACACUGCUGUUAUUUCCGUAUUGCCACGUUAGUGUGCGAUUAUAUAUCUUUACUCAUAAACAUGUUCA